rnacentral:rRNA from 1 species
AACGAACGCUGGCGGCAGGCUUAACACAUGCAAGUCGAGCGAAGACUUCGGUCUUAGCGGCGGACGGGUGAGUAACGCGUGGGAACAUACCCUUUGCUACGGAACAGUCCCGGGAAACUGGGUUUAAUACCGUAUACGCCCUUCGGGGGAAAGAUUUAUCGGCAAAGGAUUGGCCCGCGUUGGAUUAGGUAGUUGGUGGGGUAAAGGCCUACCAAGCCGACGAUCCAUAGCUGGUUUGAGAGGAUGAUCAGCCACACUGGGACUGAGACACGGCCCAGACUCCUACGGGAGGCAGCAGUGGGGAAUCUUGGACAAUGGGGGAAACCCUGAUCCAGCCAUGCCGCGUGAUCGAUGAAGGCCUUAGGGUUGUAAAGAUCUUUCAGCGAGGAAGAUAAUGACGGUACUCGCAGAAGAAGCCCCGGCUAACUCCGUGCCAGCCGCCGCGGUAACAC